UUCGUUCCUGGAGCCGGUGCUUCGAGAGCGGUUCGGGGGAGGGCAAGAGAAGGAAAGUUUCCCGGAGCCGCCCCGAGCCCCGGCUCGCUCACCUGGCGCAGAGCUCGAGGGUCGGGCAGCGCGUCCGCUGAAAAUCUGUCGUUUCGGCGGCGUGCAGCUGAAGAGCUUAAGCAUCAAAACAAUGAUUCCUCCGGGGGAAUGCCUCUAUGCUGGGAGGAAAAGGAGGAAACCCAUUCAGAAACAAAGGCCUGCGGCUGGAAAUGAAAAAUCAAAUCCUUCAAAGAGGCACAGGGACCGCCUAAAUGCAGAACUAGACCAUCUGGCCAGCCUCCUGCCUUUCCCACCCGACAUAAUAUCCAAGCUGGACAAGCUGUCUGUGCUGCGCCUUAGUGUCAGCUACCUGCGAGUCAAAAGUUUCUUUCAAGGUAGGUCUCUUCAAGAUAGCAGGAUCCCUUUAAAACUCUCCUUCUUAUUUAUGACUGCUUUCUACUAAUCGUGAGUAAAGUUAAAAUGAGGUGUUACAUUGGUAAAGUAAGAAAAGAAAGAUCUAACCUCUAUUAUUGAACAUACUUCUUUUGCAUAUGAGAUAUUGCUUUGGAAAUGUUGUGCAUUUCCUCCUAUGCUUUUUGUGUGGUUUUUACCAAAUAAUGGGAUAACCCUCGCCCUUCCUCAAUGCACUGUAGGAAAUGGGAAAACAUGGCCGUAAAAUACUUAAACCUGCAAAGAGGCUUGGGGUAAAUGUAAAGUUGUAGUAUCUGUAGCUAUGUUGUGCUCCCUUUUUGAAGCUAUUAUUGUUCAUGUUUGCAAUGUCUGUUUAAAUACAACAUGAAAGUAAAGCAACUAAUGUACCACCUGUAUUUACUGUAAGCCCAACAGGAAAUAGGCUUGCUUGAAAGGUCAGAGGAAUCACUUUCGUUUGGGAUACGUGUGAUCUGAAGUUCUAAGUGUUGACUAAAGCUAUAAUAG